CCGACGCACGGGUGAGUAACACGUAUCCAACCUGCCGAUGACUCGGGGAUAGCCUUUCGAAAGAAAGAUUAAUACCCGAUGGCAUAGUUCUUCCGCAUGGUAGAACUAUUAAAGAAUUUCGGUCAUCGAUGGGGAUGCGUUCCAUUAGCUUGUUGGCGGGGUAACGGCCCACCAAGGCAUCGAUGGAUAGGGGUUCUGAGAGGAAGGUCCCCCACAUUGGAACUGAGACACGGUCCAAACUCCUACGGAAGGCAGCAG
rnacentral:rRNA from 1 species